AUCGCAUGGCAUGGGAACUGAGUGUGCUAAUGUGCUAGCCAGAUCUUUCUUCCUCUGCUUAUAAAGCCACCAGUUCCCUUCCCACGAGAACCCAUUAAUCUAUGAUUAAUCCAUCCAUGAAGGCUGAGCCCUCAUGAUCCAAUCACCUGUUAAAGGCCACACCUCUCAGUUUUGGGGAUUAAGUUGCAACAUGAAUUUUGGAGGUGAUAUUCAAGCCAUAGCAGCAUGUUAGAAUUCACAUGAGUAAGAAUGAAAUUGUUACUGCAAUACAUUCAGGUGCCUCGACCAAUGAGAACAUUUCCUCAAUGUUCCUGAAUGCUGCUGUCUGUUUCUUUAUGUCAUGACAGCUGCUCUUCUCUGGUUUGAUCCCCUCCGUAGAUGCUGUGGGCUGGAAAGCUCAGAUGUGGAUAAAUUUGCACCCUCUAUGGGAUGUUCGCACCCCGUUUUAUGAUGAAUGCCUUGCAAUGCCGAACAAAGUAAGAGCCAACCCCCCGCAGUGGCAAAUCUCCCUGGUUCCACUCUCGGUAAGAUUUUAAAACUAGAUUUUAAUGGUGUUUUGAGUUUCUUAAUGCCCACACAUAAUCCUUCUUACUCCGGCUAACUUAACCCUUGAUUUUUCUUGUUCUCUUUGGACUUCCACCAUCUUUCUUUCCUUUUGCUCUCCCUUAGUUGCUGUCUUAUUUUCUCCCAGGCAGUCUA